GAUGAACGCUAGCUACAGGCUUAACACAUGCAAGUCGAGGGGAAACGACAUCGAAAGCUUGCUUUUGAUGGGCGUCGACCGGCGCACGGGUGAGUAACGCGUAUCCAACCUGCCCACCACUUGGGGAUAACCUUGCGAAAGUAAGACUAAUACCCAAUGAUAUCUCUAGAAGACAUCUGAAAGAGAUUAAAGAUUUAUCGGUGAUGGAUGGGGAUGCGUCUGAUUAGCUUGUUGGCGGGGUAACGGCCCACCAAGGCAACGAUCAGUAGGGGUUCUGAGAGGAAGGUCCACCACAUUGGAACUGAGACACGGUCCAAACUCCUACGGGAGGCAGCAGUGAGGAAUAUUGGUCAAUGGACGAGAGUCUGAACCAGCCAAGUAGCAUGCAGGAAGACGGCCCUAUGGGUUGUAAACUGCUUUUAUAAGGGAAUAAAGUGAGUCUCGUGAGACUUUUUGCAUGUACCUUAUGAAUAAGGACCGGCUAAUUCCGUG
rnacentral:rRNA from 1 species